rnacentral:rRNA from 1 species
UACAGAGGGGGCAAGCGUUGUUCGGAAUUACUGGGCGUAAAGGGCGCGUAGGCGGCCUUCUAAGUCGAACGUGAAAUCCCCGGGCUCAACCCGGGAACUGCGUCCGAGACUGGAAGGCUUGAAUCCGGGAGAGGGGUGUGGAAUUCCAGGUGUAGCGGUGAAAUGCGUAGAUAUCUGGAGGAACAUCGGUGGCGAAGGCGGCAUCCUGGACCGGUAUUGACGCUGAGGCGCGAAAGCCAGGGGAGCAAACAGG